rnacentral:rRNA from 1 species
AGAGUUUGAUCCUGGCUCAGGAUGAACGCUGGCGGCGUGCCUAACACAUGCAAGUCGAACGGAGUUACUUUAGUGAAGUUUUCGGAUGGAUCUGAUUUAACUUAGUGGCGGACGGGUGAGUAAUGCGUGAGCAACCUGCCCUUCAGAGGGGGACAACAGUUGGAAACGACUGCUAAUACCGCAUAAUGUAUUCGGAAGGCAUCUUCUGGAUACCAAAGGAGAAAUCCGCUGAUGGAUGGGCUCACGUCUGAUUAGCUAGUUGGUGAGGUAACGGCUCACCAAGGCUGCGAUCAGUAGCCGGACUGAGAGGUUGAACGGCCACAUUGGGACUGAGAUACAGCCCAGACUCCUACGGGAGGCAGCAGUGGGGAAUAUUGCACAAUGGGGGAAACCCUGAUGCAGCGACGCCGCGUGGAGGAAGAAGGUCUUCGGAUUGUAAACUCCUGUUGUUGAGGAAGAUAAUGACGGUACUCAACAAGGAAGUGACGGCUAACUACGUGCCAGCAGCCGCGGUAAAGCGUAGGUCACAAGCGUUGUCCGGAAUUACUGGGUGUAAAGGGAGCGCAGGCGGGCGAUCAAGUUGGAAGUGAAAUCCAUGGGCUCAACCCAUGAACUGCUUUCAAAACUGAUUGUCUUGAGUAGUGCAGAGGUAGGCGGAAUUCCCGGUGUAGCGGUGGAAUGCGUAGAUAUCGGGAGGAACACCAGUGGCGAAGGCGGCCUACUGGGCACCAACUGACGCUGAGGCUCGAAAGUGUGGGUAGCAAACAGGAUUAGAUACCCUGGUAGUCCACACCGUAAACGAUGAUUACUAGGUGUUGGAGGAUUGACCCUUUCAGUGCCGCAGUUAACACGAUAAGUAAUCCACCUGGGGAGUACGACCGCAAGGUUGAAACUCAAAGGAAUUGACGGGGGCCCGCACAAGCAGUGGAGUAUGUGGUUUAAUUCGACGCAACGCGAAGAACCUUACCAAGUCUUGACAUCCUGCGACGAUGCUAGAAAUAGUAUUUUCCUUCGGGACGCAGAGACAGGUGGUGCAUGGUUGUCGUCAGCUCGUGUCGUGAGAUGUUGGGUUAAGUCCCGCAACGAGCGCAACCCUUAUGGUCAGUUACUACGCAAGAGGACUCUGGCCAGACUGCCGUUGACAAAACGGAGGAAGGUGGGGAUGACGUCAAAUCAUCAUGCCCUUUAUGACUUGGGCUACACACGUACUACAAUGGCGUUAAACAAAGAGAAGCAAGACCGCGAGGUGGAGCAAAACUCAGAAACAACGUCCCAGUUCGGACUGCAGGCUGCAACUCGCCUGCACGAAGUCGGAAUUGCUAGUAAUCGCAGAUCAGCAUGCUGCGGUGAAUACGUUCCCGGGCCUUGUACACACCGCCCGUCACACCAUGAGAGCCGGGGGGACCCGAAGUCGGUAGUCUAACCGCAAGGAGGACGCCGCCGAAGGUAAAACUGGUGAUUGGGGUGAAGUCGUAACAAGGUA